CCUACGGGAGACUGCAGUGGGGAAUAUUGGGCAAUGGGCGCAAGCCUGACCCAGCAACGCCGCGUGAAGGAAGAAGGCUUUCGGGUUGUAAACUUCUUUUGUCAGGGAAGAGUAGAAGACGGUACCUGACGAAUAAGCCACGGCUAACUACGUGCCAGUAGCCGCGGUAAUACGUAGGUGGCAAGCGUUGUCCGUAUUUACUGGGUGUAAAGGGCGUGUAGCCGGGUUGACAAGUCAGAUGUGAAAUCCUGCGGCUUAACCGCAGAACUGCAUUUGAAACUGUUGAUCUUGAGUACUGGAGAGGCAGACGGAAUUCCUAGUGUAGCGGUGAAAUGCGUAGAUAUUAGGAGGAACACCAGUGGCGAAGGCGGUCUGCUGGACAGCAACUGACGGUGAGGCGCGAAAGCGUGGGGAGCAAACAGGAUUAGAUACCCCAGUAGUC
rnacentral:rRNA from 1 species